AGCACUUGACUUAUCGCGAAAAGUGUAGUAGCGUAGAAUGCGCGAGUAUAGGUAUUCGCGAGGCGCGGAUUGCGGCUUAGUUGAGAGAGUGUGUUGGCAGUAGCACUUGAGUAUUGCUAGGUGUGAAGAGGGCUACGGAUCACUUGCAGGGCUAGUAGCUCGCACUAGGUGCUUCGGAGUCGAUAGAGGUACGUGUUAAUCAGUAGAGCAUGUUGUGUGUGACGGCGAUGGCGGGUAUUGCUUGGAGACGAUCCGUGCCUGGACCAUUUGUGGACUGUGGAGCCUGAGGGCAUGUGGACAGGCGCAGUCAGUUGUGUGUGACAGCGGCAUGAUACCUGCGGGUAGGGCAGAGGUUUCGGUCGGGACGGUAGUCCGAGCUUGGACCUGGGAACGUGGAAU
rnacentral:lncRNA from 1 species